AAUAGAAUACAUGCUUUAUUCAUAUUAUUAUUCUCCACAAGGAUGUAUAUAUUCUUAACUAAGGAACAAAGGAACAAAAGAAACAAUGGAAAAAUUAUCCCCAAAAAAAUAAUGAGGGGAACAAAUCUAAGUAUCCAUCCAUCUACUACACUUACAUCCCUCAGCUCCAAUGUACAUCAACUGUCCUCAUCACCCCCUCCCCCCUCCCUCCCUUUUGUAGCUAGUUAUACAAACAAAAUUAAUCAAUAAUCCUCACAUGUACAGUUAAAC
rnacentral:lncRNA from 1 species